rnacentral:lncRNA from 1 species
CAUGGACUGCCACGAACCUGUCAGUUCCUGUGUGAUGUAAGGCAGAGUCAUUUGAAGCAUGUGGGGGUUGGGAACCCUGGAUUAAACUGAAGUUGGAGGUAAAAGACCAAAAAAACCCAAAACAAAACCACCCUCCCCCUCCAAAUCAAAAAACCUACCAAAGUCAGAUGGAGGGUGGCCUUGGAUAUCUCUCUCCCACCCAAGACUUUGUUCCUGGGAGAGAGGAGCCCCAUGGACUAUAGCUCCACCCCCGCCCCCCUUCAUUUCCAGGUUACUGGUUGAAGAUCAAGAUAAGUACAGAGACUGUCAUCCAAAUGGGCCAAAGGUUAUUGUGGAUGGGAAGAGCAUUGGGUAUUUCCAGGCCCGACUCCUUGGUUUCAUAGAAGAGGUAAGAGAAGGACAAUCAUACUUCGUUUCAACAAUACAUAUGGAGGACUUAAUCUGGUCCCAGCACUCUGAGGACACAGUGACAAUGAGGACAAGCCAGCCCGAGGCGGCUGUUCCUUUGAUGAGCACUACAGCAACUGUGGUUAUAGCGUGGCCCUGGGGACCAAUGGAUUUACGUGGGAGCAGAUUAACACGUGGGAGAAACCAAUGCUGGACCCAGCGGUGCCCACAGGUGUGACCCUGACGGAUACGUCUGUAUUAUCUAAAUGGAUCUUCAUAAAAACUGGAGGAGAUGCAGACUGUUAUUACCAGUGUCCUUAUUAAAUGAGGAAACAAACUGAGG